GUAGGGAAUAUUGGACAAUGGGCGAAAGCCUGAUCCAGCCAUGCCGCGUGAUAGAUGAAGGCCCUCUGGGUUGUAAAUAUCUUUUAUCUGGGAAGAAACUCCUCUAUUCUUAGAGGCCUGACGGUACCAGAGGAAUAAGCACCGGCUAACUCCGUGCCAGCAGCCGCGGUAAUACGGAGGGUGCAAGCGUUAUCCGGAUUCACUGGGUUUAAAGGGUGCGUAGGCGGGUUGAUAAGUCAGUGGUGAAAGCUCCGCGCUUAACUUGGAAACUGCCAUUGAUACUGUCAGUAUUGAAUGUCGUAGAGGUAAGCGGAAUGUUGCAUGUAGCGGUGAAAUGCUUAGAUAUGUUACAGAACACCAAUUGCGAAGGCAGCUUACUAUGCGAUAAUUGACGCUGAGGCACGAAAGCGUGGGGAGCAAACAGGAUUAGAAACCCUGGUAGUCC
rnacentral:rRNA from 1 species